rnacentral:misc_RNA from 1 species
UAUCCGUAGGUGAACCUGCGGAUGGAUCAUUUGUGAUGUGCUCGAUGUGUGUGAGCGGGGUGUGCCGUGUGGUAACUGAGAUGAUCAGGUAGAGUUGACAUACAACUUCCAGCAACGGAUCUCUUGGCUCUCGCAUCGAUGAAGAACGCAAC